UAAUACAGAGGGGGCAAGCGUUGUUCGGAAUUACUGGGCGUAAAGGGCGCGUAGGCGGCCUGUUAAGUCGGACGUGAAAUCCCUCGGCUCAACCGGGGAACUGCGUCCGAUACUGGCGGGCUUGAAUUCGGGAGAGGGAUGUGGAAUUCCAGGUGUAGCGGUGAAAUGCGUAGAUAUCUGGAGGAACACCGGUGGCGAAGGCGGCAUCCUGGACCGACAUUGACGCUGAGGCGCGAAAGCCAGGGGAGCAAACGGGAUUAGAUACCCCGGUAGUCCUGGCCCUAAACGAUGAGUGCUUGGUGUGGCGGGUAUCGAUCCCUGCCGUGCCGAAGCUAACGCAUUAAGCACUCCGCCUGGGGAGUACGGUCGCAAGGCUG
rnacentral:rRNA from 1 species